GAUGAACGCUGGCGGCGUGCCUAAUACAUGCAAGUCGAGCGAACGGACGAGAAGCUUGCUUCUCUGAUGUUAGCGGCGGACGGGUGAGUAACACGUGGAUAACCUACCUAUAAGACUGGGAUAACUUCGGGAAACCGCAGCUAAUACCGGAUAAUAUUUUGAACCGCAUGGUUCAAAAGUGAAAGACGGUCUUGCUGUCACUUAUAGAUGGAUUCGCGCUGCAUUAGCUAGUUGGUAAGGUAACGGCUUACCAAGGCAACGAUGCAUAGCCGACCUGAGAGGGUGAUCAGCCACACUGGAACUGAGACACGGUCCAGACUCCUACGGGAGGCAGCAGUGGGGAAUCUUCCGCAAUGGGCGAAAGCCUGACGGAGCAACGCCGCGUGAGUGAUGAAGGUCUUCGGAUCGUAAAACUCUGUUAUUAGGGAAGAACAGAUGUAGAAGUAACUGUGCACAUCUUGACGGUACCUAAUCAGAAAGCAACGGCUAACUACGUG
rnacentral:rRNA from 1 species